rnacentral:rRNA from 1 species
CGGGAGGCAGCAGUGGGGAAUCUUGCGCAAUGGGGGAAACCCUGACGCAGCGACGCCGCGUGGAGGAUGAAGGUCUUCGGGUUGUAAACUCCUUUUCUCAGGGAAAAUAAUGAUGGUACCUGAGGAAUAAGCCACGGCUAACUCUGUGCCAGCAGCCGCGGUAAGACAGAGGUGGCGAGCGUUGUUCGGAAUUACUGGGCUUAAAGGGCGAGUAGGCGGUAGAGCAAGUCUGAGGUGGAAUCCUAUGGCUUAACCAUAGAAUUGCCUUAGAAACUGUUUUACUUGAGUCAGUGAGGGGAGGGCGGAAUUCCUGGUGUAGCGGUGAAAUGCGUAGAUAUCAGGAGGAAGGCCUGUGGCGAAGGCGGCCCUCUGGCACUGCACUGACGCUGAGGCGCGAAAGCGUGGGUAGCAAACAGGAUUAGAUACCCCUGUAGUC